GCCUUCGUGGUGUAGUGGUCAACACGCUCGAAGCGUAUUCGAGAGGUCCACGGUUCGAGUCCCGGCGAGGGCA
rnacentral:tRNA from 1 species